rnacentral:rRNA from 1 species
CCUACGGGAGGCAGCAGUGGGGAAUAUUGGACAAUGGGCGAAAGCCUGAUCCAGCCAUGCCGCGUGUGUGAAGAAGGCCUUCGGGUUGUAAAGCACUUUCAGUGGGGAAGAAAGCCUUGGGGCUAAUACCCUCGAGGAAGGACAUCACCCACAGAAGAAGCCCCGGCUAACUCCGUGCCAGCAGCCGCGGUAAUACGGAGGGUGCGAGCGUUAAUCGGAAUUACUGGGCGUAAAGCGCGCGUAGGCGGUCUGAUAAGCCGGUGUGAAAGCCCCGGGCUCAACCUGGGAACGGCAUCCGGAACUGUCAGGCUAGAGUGCAGGAGAGGAAGGUAGAAUUCCCGGUGUAGCGGUGAAAUGCGUAGAGAUCGGGAGGAAUACCAGUGGCGAAGGCGGCCUUCUGGACUGACACUGACGCUGAGGUGCGAAAGCGUGGGUAGCAAACAGGAUUAGAUACCCGAGUAGUC